rnacentral:rRNA from 1 species
UACAGAGGAGCCAAGCGUUGUCCGGAUUGACUGGGCGUAAAGCGCACGCAGGCGGUCGUGCGCGUGGGGUGUGAAAUCUGGCCGCUUAACGGCCAGGCGCCAUCCCAUACGGCACGACUGGAGGGCUACAGAGGUCGAUGGAAUUGCCGGUGUAGUGGUGAAAUGCGUAGAGAUCGGCAGGAACACCCAGGGGGAAACCAGUCGACUGGGCAGCACCUGACGCUGAGGUGCGAGAGCGUGGGGAGCGAACCGG